CUUCAUUAACUUUUCAUAUUCUCUCUCUUCAUUGUAUCGUUCUCUCUCUUAAUCUAUCGUUCCCUUCUUCUCCACACUAACCCUAAUUUCAAUAUUUUCCCCAAAUUUCAUCUCAAAGCUGCAAAUUCGACAUAGUUGAUUUGUCACUUUUUCCUUACUUUCGCGCAAAGGGUUGGUUAUGCUUAUAGCUAUCGCUUGAAAUUGCUUUGAUUUCCAAGUUCUACAAAGCUAAAAAGGAAAUAUGUCUACCGAAGGCGAUGAACCCGUAAUUCAAACUGAGGAUUCAGUUGACAGUUCAGUCCCUAGUUCGAAAAGAGCAAAAACUUCUAUGGCUUGGGAAUGUUUUGAAAAGUUUGUUGAUGAUGAAGGACUCCCAAAGAAGAGGUGGAAUGGUGAAGAAAUUGAGUGGCUCUAAUCAGUUGGAAUUCUCUUGUAGCUUAAGGACUUUGAUUUUAUGCAACUUGAAUUCUACUUGUUUCAACUUGGGAUAUGUAGCAAGUAGUCCAGUACUAUAUGUAAUCUUGAAUUUGAAUCUUAUUUCACUUAGAAAUUCUCUUUUGUAAUUCAAGAACUUGAUGUAGUUGAAAUCGAAAGGUUUGUACUAAUUUUGUAUCACUUUUUCUAAACUUAUUAACAUUAAUUAUGUCAUUUCA